AUGACCUACCAAAUACAUAGCUAUCAUGUAUUUGACCCUUGACCCUGACCACUUACAGGAGCUCUAUCAGCCCUGCUAAUAAUAUCUGACUUAGUAAUAUGAUUUCACUUUAACCUAGCUAUCUUAUUAUCUUUAGGUCUGCAAACCAAUAGAUUAAUGAUAUACCAGGGAUGAUGAGAUAUUGUCCGAGAAAGCAGAUUUUCAAGGUCAUCACAUAUUAAUUGUUCAAAAAGGCCUAUGUUUCUAUUUAUCAUGUCAGAAAUCUUCUUCAAAGGCUUCUUCUGAACUUUCUACCACUUCAGUCUGCCCCCAACCCCAGAA
rnacentral:lncRNA from 1 species